AACGAACGCUGGCGGCAGGCUUAACACAUGCAAGUCGAACGCUCGUAGCAAUACGGGAGUGGCGGACGGGUGAGUAACGCGUGGGAACGUGCCCUGAGGUACGGAAUAACUGAGGGAAACUUCAGCUAAUACCGUAUGAGCCCCGAGAGGGGAAAGAUUUAUCGCCUUGGGAGCGGCCCGCGUCGGAUUAGCUAGUUGGUGGGGUAACGGCCUACCAAGGCUUCGAUCCGUAGCUGGUCUGAGAGGACGAUCAGCCACACUGGGACUGAGACACGGCCCUAGACUCCUACGGGAGGCAGCAGUGGGGAAUCUUGCGCAAUGGGGGCAACCCUGACGCAGCCAUGCCGCGUGAACGAUGAAGGCCUUAGGGUUGUAAAGUUCUUUUACCCGUGACGAUGAUGACGGUAACGGGGGAAUAAGCUCCGGCUAACUUCGUGCCAGCAGCCGCGGUAAAGUAUCG
rnacentral:rRNA from 1 species